AACGAACGCUGGCGGCAGGCCUAACACAUGCAAGUCGAACGAGAAGCCACCUUCGGGUGGUGGACAGUGGCAGACGGGUGAGUAACGCGUGGGAACGUGCCUUUCGGUUCGGGAUAACCCAGGGAAACUUGGGCUAAUACCGGAUACGCCCUCCGGGGGAAAGAUUCAUUGCCGAAAGAUCGGCCCGCGUCGGAUUAGCUAGUUGGUAGGGUAAUGGCCUACCAAGGCGACGAUCCGUAGCUGGUCUGAGAGGAUGACCAGCCACACUGGGACUGAGACACGGCCCAGACUCCUACGGGAGGCAGCAGUGGGGAAUAUUGGACAAUGGGCGAAAGCCUGAUCCAGCCAUGCCGCGUGGGUGAAGAAGGCCUUAGGGUUGUAAACCCCUUUCAGCGGGGAAGAUAAUGACGGUGCCCGGAGAAGAAGCCCCGGCUAACUUCGUGCCAGCAGCCGCCGUAACAC
rnacentral:rRNA from 1 species